rnacentral:rRNA from 1 species
UACGGGGGGGGCAAGCGUUGUUCGGAAUUACUGGGCGUAAAGGGCUCGUAGGCGGCCAACUAAGUCAGACGUGAAAUCCCUCGGCUUAACCGGGGAACUGCGUCUGAUACUGGAUGGCUUGAAUCCGGGAGAGGAAUGCGGAAUUCCAGGUGUAGCGGUGAAAUGCGUAGAUAUCUGGAGGAACACCGGUGGCGAAGGCGGCAUUCUGGACCGAUAUUGACGCUGAGGAGCGAAAGCCAGGGGAGCAAACGGG